rnacentral:tRNA from 2 species
GCGGGUGUAGCUCAGUUGGUAGAGCACCAGAUUGUGGCUUUGGGUGCCGCGGGUUCAAGCCCCGUCACUCGCC